GCGGCGCGCCUAACACAUGCAAGUCGAACGAGCGAGAGAGAGCUUGCUUUCUCAAGCGAGUGGCGAACGGGUGAGUAACGCGUGAGGAACCUGCCUCAAAGAGGGGGACAACAGUUGGAAACGACUGCUAAUACCGCAUAAGCCCACGGCUCGGCAUCGAGCAGAGGGAAAAGGAGCAAUCCGCUUUGAGAUGGCCUCGCGUCCGAUUAGCUAGUUGGUGAGGUAACGGCCCACCAAGGCGACGAUCGGUAGCCGGACUGAGAGGUUGAACGGCCACAUUGGGACUGAGACACGGCCCAGACUCCUACGGGAGGCAGCAGUGGGGAAUAUUGCACAAUGGGGGAAACCCUGAUGCAGCGACGCCGCGUGGAGGAAGAAGGUCUUCGGAUUGUAAACUCCUGUUGUUGAGGAAGAUAAUGACGGUACUCAACAAGGAAGUGACGGCUAACUACGUGCCAGCAGCCGCGGUAAAACGUAGGUCACAAGCGUUGUCCGGAAUUACUGGGUGUAAAGGGAGCGCAGGCGGGAAGACAAGUUGGAAGUGAAAUCCAUGGGCUCAACCCAUGAACUGCUUUCAAAACUGUUUUUCUUGAGUAGUGCAGAGGUAGGCGGAAUUCCCGGUGUAGCGGUGGAAUGCGUGGAUAUCGGGAGGAACACCAGUGGCGAAGGCCGGCUACUGGGCACCAACUGACGC
rnacentral:rRNA from 1 species